AAUCUUGCUUGGUGUCUGACAUACACAUGUUCACACCAUAUUUUGGAAAACUGGUUCUAUUUGUGUUUUCUGUAUAUAAAUUAGGGAGGUAUUAUUAAGGAGCUAGAGGACUACACAUUUUUCAGUAAAUAUUUUGUCUUUCACAGGAUGUCCUAGACAGUCGAUAAGCCCCCAGUGAUUGACGACUGCUAACCAAGACGUGGAUGGAUACGGGAGUCAAAAUGGAGCUCCUACCAGCCUGAGUGAGGACAGGCACAGGGUCCAAAUGAAGAGAUUCUGAGCAAGGGCCGAAAGCCAUCUGUGCCGCUGUGGAAAUGGAGCUAAGGAUCCAGGCAUGUCUGAGAAAUGGGAAAUUUAAAGGCAGACACAGAUUAUGUGGGGCUGAGUUUUUAGAAACAACUGCACAAAAUGUAUUUUUCUUCAUCCUUAAAGAUCUGCAGUGCCAAAGCGUCCGAAGACAGGAACUUAGAAACUGCAAGGUUGUAAGAUGCUUUUCAAAUGCAUGGAUGUUAGAGCAGCUAUCAAGAAAAAGACAAGAGAUAACAAAAGUUGAAAUUCUAAAAAUUAUCGUGGAAAUGUUUUUACCUCAUAUGAACCACCUGACAUUGGAACAGACUUUCUUCUCACAAGUGUUGCCAAAGACUGUGAAAUCAUUUGAUGAUAUGAUGUAUGAGUUAACCAGUCAAGCCAGAGGACUGUCAAGCCAUAAUUUAGAAAUCCAGACCACUCUAAGGAAUAUUUUACAAACAAUGGUGCAGCUCUUAGCAGCUCUUACAGGAUGUGUUCAGCAUAUCUGUGCCACACAGGAGUCCAUCAUUCUAGAAAAUAUUCAUAGUCUUCCUUCCUCAGUCCUACAUGUAAUCAAAAGUACAUUUGUACAUUGUAAGGAUAGCGAAUCUGUCUAUUCUGGGCAUUUACACCUAGUUUCAGACCUUCUCCAGGCUCUUUUCAAGGAGGCCUAUUCUCUUCAAAAGCAGCUAAUGGAACUACUGGAUAUGGUUUGCAUGGACCCUUUAUUAGAUGACAAUGAUGAUAUUUUGAAUAUGGUGAUAGUUAUUCAUUCAUUGUUGGAUAUCUGCUCUGUUAUUUCCAGCAUGGACCAUGCAUUUCAUGCUAAUACUUGGAAAUUUAUAAUUAAGCAGAGCCUUAAGCACCAGUCGGUUAUAAAGAGUCAGCUGAAACACAAAGAUAUAAUUACCAGCUUGUGUGAAGACAUUCUUUUCUCCUUCCAUUCGUGUUUACAGUUAGCUGAGCAGAUGACGCAGUCAGAUGCACAGGAUAAUGCUGACUAUAGAUUAUUUCAGAAAACACUCAAAUUGUGUCGCUUCUUUGCCAACUCCCUUUUGCACUAUACUAAGGAAUUUCUUCCUUUACUCUCUGAUUCUUGCUGCACAUUGCACCAGCUUUAUCUUCAGAUACACAGCAAGUUUCCUCCAAGCCUAUAUGCUGCCAGGAUUUCUAAAGCACAACAGGAGGAAAUAGCAGGGACUUUCCUAGUUACACUGGAUCCUCUCAUCAGUCAGCUUCUCACAUUUCAACCUUUCGUGCAGGUGGUUUUGGAUAGUAAGUUAGAGCUGCCAUGUGAACUGCAGUUCCCACAGUGUCUUCUGCUGGUUGUCGUCAUGGACAAGCUGCCCUCUCAGCCCGAGGAUGUGCAGGCCCUGUGGUGCACAGAACGCCAGCUCCUGGAAGCGAAAACCAGGGUAUCUCUAUUCAAAGCCAUUUUCUACAGUUUUGAGCAGUGUUCUGGUGAACUCUCUCUCCCUGUUCACCUACAAGGAGUAAAGAGUAAAGGGCAAGCGGAGGUUGCUGUCACCUUGUAUCAGCAUGUUUGUGUUCAUCUGUGCACAUUCGUCGCUUCCUUUCAUCCCUCACUGUUUCCUGAGCUGGAUGUUGCUCUGUUGAAUGCUGUGCUUAGUGCUAAUCUGAUCACCUCUUUGUUAGCUAUGGAUACAUGGUGCUUCCUUUCACGGUAUGGGACUGCUGAACUCUGUGCACACCAUGUCACCAUAGUGGCUCAUCUGAUAAAAUCUUGUCCUGGAGAAUGUUACCAGCUCACCAACCUAUCGAUACUAUUCAGGCGGCUCUUUUUCUUCAUGGCCCCACCCCAGCAGGUGGAGUUUAUCCAGAAAUUUUCCCCCAGAGAAGCAGAAAAUCUGUCUCUGUGGCAAUGUAUUUCCUUCCAGGCAUUACCUGCCGAGCUUAGGAAACAAGCCACACAAGAGGUCGUUGGAGUAGGCAUUGCACGGUGUACGGAGUGGCUAAGUGAUAGUCGUACUUUGGGAGAGCUUGACUCUCUGAACACACAGCUUUCUGCUUUGCUUGCUGUGUGUAAUUCUGCUAGUGAAGCUUUGGAUAUUGCACAGCAGACUGCAAUUCUGGAAAUCGGGAGUCAGCUUUGGGCAUUUUUAAACACUACGCUGGUAACAGGUCAACCUUAUGUUCAGCAGACACUUAGCCUUUUACUUUCACUGUUGGGAUUUUUCAUUCAAACUCUAGAUCCUCAUCUGAUAAGUCAGGUAGUAACUUUGCAGACCUCACUGCUUAAAUUAGAGCCUCCUGACCAUGUUUGUUUGGCAGUGCUUGAUUUUGUAUCUUCUCUGGGAAAUUUUUUUAUACCUCAAGCUAUCCAGGACAAAAUUCUGCCCAACCUAUCUUCUAUUUUUGCCUUACUGUUAGCUGACAGGAACUGGAUACUAGAACAACAUACGUUAGAGGCGUUUACUCAGUUUGCCCAGGGAACAAAUCAUGAAGAGAUAGUCCCACAGUGUCUCAGUUCCGAAGAAACCAAGAACAAAGUUGUAUCCUUUCUGGAGAAGACUGGGUUUGUAGAUGAAACCGCGGCUGCCAGGGUGGAACGUGUGAAACAGGAAAAAGCCAUUUUCUGGGAACGCUUUGCUAACGUCGCUGUAGAAGAAGCAAAGUGGUCAUCUUUACAGCCUUGCGCAAAAAGAGCCCGUCGUGAGCUCCCUGCGGAAGAAGAGUGCGGGUCAGCACUACAGGCGGCGUCCGUGGCCUUGGAGGCGGUGGAACUAUUACUCCAGAAGUCUCCUGCUCCAGACUGGCUUGUAGUGAAACUGGAGAUGCUCCAAGAAAGGAUGGAUAGGCUAAAACGACUUGUACUCUCAGGUGGCCCCUGAACGGACUGGACCAACCCCCACCCCAGAAUCGUCUUUGUCAGCCUGCUCUGUGUUUUAAAACCUACUGCCAUCUAACAAAACUGUCCUCCUCCGACCCAAUUUGGAGAAUGCUGCACCAAAGACCCGUCACCAGCUCUCGUCACCAGUCACGAAGAAAUGGUCGGUAGGUACCCUGUAGUCCAGGAAAAGCAGAUGAGACCCCAGCUGACUACAAAGUCCGAAGUGAUAAGAGAAAUCAGCCUCAGUAUCCCCAAGGUGCCCUUAAUUUUCAGAAUUUAAAACUUAAUACUCAGGAAAACAUUCAUCCAAACAGUGGAAAAGCUGCAUAAAUGGAGUAUUUCUCCCUGUCUGUGUAAGAGUACUGGAACAAUCGCUCUGCACAUGCUUCUUGCUGCUGGGCGUGCUGCCAGAAAAACCCCAGAGGAGGGGUUCUCCAAGAUUGGCGCAUCUGAGCCUGCCGGCUACAGAUGACGACAUACACGGGACAGUAUAAAGAUACAUAAAAACUCCCCAAAGUAAAAGGGCUAAGAAAUUGCUUCUUGUUCUAACAGGGUAGGUGGGCAACAGUUAAGAGAAAUGGGUGUAUUUAACACAGACAAAAGAGAAGUUGCAGGAAGAGAGCAUCUUCAAAUAUCUGAAGAAACACGUGUUACGGAAUAUGGACGCCUGUCCUCCGGUUGUUUACGGAUGGGCUGAGUGUCUAAGUGGCGGUAAGGGACUCGAAAGGAUUCAAGAGCUAGCUGAGAAGCUGGAUUAGACAGAACCUUUAGGAUACUUGCUUAUAAGAGUUAACGGCUCUUGAACACUUUGGUGAUUUAAAACCAUAAUUGAUUCUACUAAGAAUAAAAGUCCGAGAGUACAAGAACGCCAGUGUGAAUGUACUUAAUGCUACAAAACUAUACAGUUAAAAUUGGUAAAUUUUAUGCUAUAGACAUUUAACUUCCAAUUGGGGGAAAAAAUUGUUUCCAGAAAAUGCUGUCUUUAACAGUUUACCUAAAAGUUCAUACUCCACAGUGGACAUUGGUCAAAAAGUUUCCAGCAAAAUUUUUGGCUUAGUACCUCCUCUUCCUGGAAGGGCCUGGGGUAAGUCAUCACAGUGAGGCCUGCCGGGCCCUGCAGGGUCUGACCUCUACAAGCCCAGCACCUUCUUGCUUGCUUCUGCUACCAUCCUCCCUGCGAGGGCCUACCAGUGUCUCUUACCAAUGUUCCCUUCUCCAAUUCUCUUCCCUUUUCAUAAAUCUCACUAUUAUCCCAUAUUCUUAAGUCUGACCAUAUAGGUAAACUGCAAGGGAGCAGAAGGAGGAAAAAAAAAGUCCAAGGGUACCCUCCUAUGGACAUGCUCCUCCCCAGCAUUCCCCCAUGUUGUUCAGAAGAAGGUCCACUCUUAACUAUAACCUUGAAAUGCGUCAAAAAAUGAAAUGCAGGCAGUCACCAGGGCUCGGCAGCCAUCUUGGAUGAAGAGCUUAGCUAAGUCACUGAAAGUCUUUAGAAAAAUCUAUUUUAAUAAAAAUUCAUCCCGGGGCACCUGGGUGGCUCAGUCGGUUAA